GGGAGCAGAAGGAAUAUCGUGUCUAAGGGGCAGACUCGAGCAGAGGGCCAAGUAGGUGGCUGGCUCCCGCCCACUCUGGCAACGUUGCACAGGGACACAGCCAGGAGCUGGGGCUUGGGAGCAGGAGGCCGGUCCCUGAGGGCUGGUGAGAGCCAAGCUUCUGGCAGAAAAGAAACGGAAUCACCCUUUCCUCAGUCCUGCAUGUGACAGUUUCUCUGCCCGCCCUUUUGCACACUGGUCUAUCUGACUCCAAAGCUGGAAGUCUGAAUGACACUAAACAACCACCAAUGUCUCUGAGGACAAGCAGCAAGUUCUCUCUCCUCCUGGGCCCUGGCACAUAUUUAUACAGAGUGUAUCAUGAACAUCUGGGUCCCCGCUGCCCCAAGGUGCUCAGUAGAUGGGUAGUGCCACUCAAAGAGCAGCCAUGGAGGGAGGAAGCCGAGUCUCGGGCUGGAGCUGCCAGGAUCUGUGUGGGUCCCACUGAAGUCCGGCAGCCCCGCCAGGAGUGCAAGAAGCUGGCUGUGGUCCCUCUGGAGCAGUGCACUCCUGGGGUAAACAAGCAGUGUUUGCCAGGAAAAGGGCCCUGAGGUCCAGAAUACAGCUCAUUAUGGUUUUGACUAAUACCAGACUGUCCACUGCUCCAUUCAACCACAGAGGCUCCCUUUGACCUCAAAUCGAGCCUGAGUUUCCAUCAGCCCCGGGGCUGCCCCGCAUGCUAGACUCUGUCCUUGUCUGAAGCAAGUCUCCUGGGUCGUGAGAGCCUUUGCUGCAAACUCAGCCAAUAAACCAUGCUACUUGGCUUGAGUUCUC
rnacentral:lncRNA from 1 species